UGCAUUUACAAGGAUUUGGGUGAGCAGCAGCGGUUGAUGGUUUUUGGCUGAAAUACGUGGGUGGUCGCCUGUUUUACCCUUCCCAGCCCUCGAGUUGGUGGAAUUAUCGUGGCCAUGGAGGCUGGUGGAACUGCCAAAAGAGCUCCUAAACUGCCCCUGUUUUAUAUUCUCGUACAUCAUGCUGGCUGGGGGAAUCCGUGGCCUGGAGGCACACAGAUACAGUCUGUAGUACGAUUAAUGCAUAUUAAAUCUCAAAUUUAUAAUAUUUUUUUAUUCAAAAUUAUUGAAAUGAUGCUUUAAGAAUUGUGCGAGAUAGAGAGAGAGAGAGAGAGUACGUGAGAACCUGCAGCCAUUAUCUUGAAUAUUUAUAUAGAAUCAAAAAAACUUAAAUAAUAGCUUCUGACUAUUUUU
rnacentral:lncRNA from 1 species